AACAAUCAAUUAGUGAUUAUCUAUAAAAAAAAUCAAAGGACCUGAACAUAUGCUUCUCCAAUGGAUAAUCUAUCAUCAACUCAAAGUGUCAAAAAUUGUCAACUGAUCAUUUAUCAACAAGUUUGAAUUGAAGAAGAUUGAAUCAACCGAAGGAUAUUCAUCUAUGGAUGAUUUGAGAUGAUGAAGAUUAAUCAACUAAAAAAUCAAAAGAUGAAUAAAAU
rnacentral:lncRNA from 1 species